UCCGUCCGGGUCCGUGGUUGCGUCGUCGGGACGCCCGGGUCCACCCGGGCGGUCAGUCGACAAGCCGAUGCCAGUCGCAGGCGAAACGGUCCACGUAACCACACAAGGGGGACCUGCCCCCUGGCCUCCUCGGGGGGUCCAAGGGGGGCGAAGCCCCCUUUGUCCUCCUCGGGGGGUCCAAGGGGGGCGAAGCCCCCUUUGUGUGGGAUCACGGUGCGGCUUAGUGGUAAGCCCUGCCUCGACCCCGUCGCCAGAUGCGGCGAAGGUCGGGAGAAGGUCAGUAGUGGCAGUCAAGCUGCGAGCACCUCAGCAGGCGGUUGUGGGGUCGAAGACCAGGUCGGCCGGACGGA
rnacentral:ncRNA from 1 species